CUGAGUGGCGGACGGGUGAGUAACGCGUGGGUAACCUGCCUCACACAGGGGGAUAACAGUUGGAAACGGCUGAUAAUACCGCAUAAGCGCACAGUACCGCAUGGUACAGUGUGAAAAACUCCGGUGGUGUGAGAUGGACCCGCGUCUGAUUAGCUUGUUGGCAGGGUAACGGCCUACCAAGGCAACAAUCAGUAGCCGACCUGAGAGGGUGACCGGCCACAUUGGGACUGAGACACGGCCCAAACUCCUACGGGAGGCAGCAGUGGGGAAUAUUGCACAAUGGAGGAAACUCUGAUGCAGCGACGCCGCGUGAGCGAAGAAGUAUUUCGGUAUGUAAAGCUCUAUCAGCAGGGAAG
rnacentral:rRNA from 1 species